rnacentral:lncRNA from 1 species
AUACUAAAGUACUUCGAAAUACAAGAACUGAAAUUGUUCAUAUGCAUGGGAAAACUAUGGAAUUCCUAGAAAGACUAAGAAGCUGCUUCCUCACUCCCCUCCAAGACAUUCUCCACUGAGGCCUCAUUCUCCUCUGCUCACAUCCAAGUGGAUGAUCAUCGCAAAAGAAAGAGCAGGCAACAAACACAAACACAAACAAACAAGGGUGAGCUAAUUAUAUAAACAAAUACAUAUAACAGAUUAAGCAUGUGAUCAUAUAAGAGUGAAUUGAAAACAAAACAGUUAGGAAACACAACCUAAGCAUAUUAUUUUCUAGACUUGACUCGUCCGGACUUUAAAAUGAUAGUCGGGUGAUGGGUGUCGCCGCCCAAUCAAAUUUGAUGUGCAGUUUAAAGUGCAGUAUAACUAGGGAAUGACCCCUAGGUCGUCUCCCAAGGACCAAAUUUGUGGUUCAGCGUCAAGUCUAACACGAAAAAGGGGAGGGGUUUUGAAAAGGUUUUGCAAAAAUUAAAAGACUCAAUAAAGACAUAAAGGCAAGCAACACAUUCAAACAAAACAAAAUAAAAUUCUAGNCGCUAACACCAUAACACACAACUAUCUAACUCUAUCAAAUUAAUUUAAAUNCAAAACUAAAUUAAAGAUUCAACUUACUAUUUAAACCAAAUUAAACAAAAGAAAUAACAACAUUAUUUUUCCUAUCACUCACGUGACCAAAUGGUAUUCACCCAAGAAAACUUGAAAUUGUAAUACCAUUGAAAUAACACUCAUUGCCGUGACCCAUUUGUUGACUGAAACCGUGCACCAGCAGCAUGACCGUGGCUUCCUAAAAUGUUUUAAUUGCAAGGCUUUACUCCAAUAUAAGCUCCCAAUAAAUCAAGCUCUGGACCCCACCAUCACCAUCAAUUGCAAAAGCCGUGGUCUGUACACUUCUUGAAGAAAGCAAAUUCAUUCUGCAAUGUCCCAUCAUCAGACCCCACAACCAAGAAACCGCGUGCAUCCUUCCUUCUAGCCGUGACACAUACCACGCCCUAUAUCCAAUUCAAUUACUUCUCCACGUGAAGCAUCUUAAAUGCAAUUGAGCUUCAAUUGAAAUUUGGUUCAGCUUGUUCUUCCCAAGGAAAAAUACUCUCUUCAUUCAUGGACACAUCCCAAUGCUAACACAUCAACAAACCUGCAGCCGCCACCUAAGACACCGGUGCCCACUCUUUCUUCAAUUAAAAAUUGUGUUACUUUUCAUCAUCAAAUUAAGGAAACCGUGCACCCCUGAUUCAGUCGUAAACUCCUCACCAAAUACUUGAUAAAUAAAAGGAAAACUGAAUGUGUUUAUUGAACUACAUUCCCGAGGCCAUGUGACACCAUAUGAACUACUCAUUCAAUGAAGCUCUUGAUAAUAAACAUUGUUAAACCCCCUUUGACCGAGAGAACAAUAACUCUGCAC